rnacentral:tRNA from 1 species
GUUUUAAUAAUUUAAAAUAAAAUACUGGUCUUGUAAACCAGAAAUAAGAUUUCAAUCUUUUAAAACU